rnacentral:misc_RNA from 1 species
UCAAACUUGGUCAUUUAGAGGAAGUAAAAGUCGUAACAAGGUUUCCGUAGGUGAACCUGCGGAAGGAUCAUUAAUGAAAAUUGCAAAAGGGGGGUUUUGGCCCUUUCAACUGCUGCUGCUGGCUUCACCGCAUGUGCACGUUGUUGGAGGGGUUGAGCCUCUUUUCCAAUACACACACACACCUGUGAACCAAUGUGGAAAAAAGAGGUGAAUGUUCUUCAAGGAACUACAGCUUCGGACUUCCAUCUUUUUUUCUUUACAACCACACACUCUGUGUAACAAAGGCCCUGUGGAAUGUUGACUACAAAUAAUAAUACAACUUUCAACAACGGAUCUCUUGGCUCUCGCAUCGAUGAAGAACGCAGC